UACGUAGGGUGCAAGCGUUAAUCGGAAUUACUGGGCGUAAAGCGUGCGCAGGCGGUUUUUGUAAGUCUGUCGUGAAAUCCCCGGGCUCAACCUGGGAAUUGCGAUGGAGACUGCAAGGCUAGAAUCUGGCAGAGGGGGGGUAGAAUUCCACGUGUAGCAGUGAAAUGCGUAGAGAUGUGGAGGAACACCGAUGGCGAAGGCAGCCCCCUGGGCUAACACUGACGCUCAUGCACGAAAGCGUGGGGAGCAAACAGG
rnacentral:rRNA from 1 species